rnacentral:tRNA from 1 species
AUCAUCCUAGCAUAACCAAUGCAGUUGACUUCCAAUCAUCAAAUCUUAGUACCUACCUAAGGGAAGAUA